rnacentral:lncRNA from 12 species
GCCCGCCUCCCCGCGGCGGUGUCACCUGCCCCCAGGCCGGCGCGUGCCCGCGGAAGUGUGCGGCGGCGGGGGCGCACGUGGCUGCUGUGUGCGGGCCUCCCUCUGCCCCCGUGUACGCCUGGAAGCGAGUCGGGGUGGAGGGGUCAGUCUGGUCUCGCCCCGGGGGCGGGUGUGACAUCCCUCGGUGCGUGAGACAGGAGAGGACCCCGGAGGGCCUGGACGGGUGCCGCCCUCCAACCCCCGGACUGGCCUGUUCCCGGGGAUAUCACAGUACAGGGCUCCUGGGUGGGAAGCUUAUAACCAAACUCCUUCCUCAGCCGGAGGAGGGCCCUGAGAAAUCCCUGGAAGCAGGCGAUUGGAAGGAACUGAGAGCAGAACUCAGGAGAGCGAGAUCUGGGGCACACGUUCAAGGAUUGGUUCCAGACGUCCACGAGCAAGCCAGGACGAAGCCCUUUCCCGCCAAACCACGGAAGGCUGGGAGACAAGCAGCGCCUGCCCCAACUCCGGGAGUGGGAACCCGGGAGAAGACUGGAGGGGUGAGAGGACCUAGAGCAGCGCGAGGAGGGAGGCGGAAGGAAGAGAGAAGGUUGGGAAAGAGACAGCGAGGGAGGAGGAAGAGGAGGGAGCAGCAGGGGCAGCGCGGACGUGGGCUUGGGCGCAGCCGCCCCCCUGGGCGCCCGGGGUCUCCAUCGCCCGCGGAGCCCGAGCGGACUGGGGGAGGGGGAGAUAAGACAAAGGGAAUUCUCCUCCGGGAAGUGCCAAGUGCAUCUGUCCUCUCCUGGCAGGAUGGGGAAACACUGGCAGGAAUUUCCUUGUCGUGAGAAGACCGACGGGCGUCUGCAGCGGUGGAGACAACUACAAACAGACUUGGGGCCGGGAGGAGGGCGGGAGGAGGGGUGGCGGGGGCCAGCUUUGAUCGCUUCAACUCUGUUGUAAUUUUGUCUUCUCCACAUUAGCCAAAAUAGUCAGCCCUAGCUAGGGGUUCUGUUCGGCGGAGUCCCCUCCCCCCCACCCCUCCACCCCCGCGUCCUGUGCACGCGGGGAGCUGGGUCGCAGCUCCUCCCCAGUCGCGCCUGAAACUUCAAGGGCUCCUGGUCCUGUGUUCCUGCCGUAAUUAGGAGGCCACACAGCUCUCCAGCACUGCGUUACACAAGUAUGUGAGUCCUCCUCCCCCUCUCCGGGGACAGACCCGGGGAAGGACGGCAGCUGGGACCGCCCCGGGCGGUGUCCUCCGUUGGGGGAGUGGCUUCGCUGUGACCCCCGGCUGCUCCUCCCGGCCUCGGUCUUUCUAAGCUCUUCCUUAGAAAGUAGAGAAAGGGGCAAAGAAUGUGCAUCUCGCCACCCACCGGACAAGCCAGGCGAGCCUGUGUCUGUGCUUGAAAAGUUUUCUAAAUAAAUUGCUCUGGUGGUUCCA